UGUGAACUCGAAGAGUAGGGCGGGACACGUGGUAUCCUGUCUGAAUAUGGGGGGACCAUCCUCCAAGGCUAAAUACUCCUGACUGACCGAUAGUGAACCAGUACCGUGAGGGAAAGGCGAAAAGAACCCCGGCGAGGGGAGUGAAAAAGAACCUGAAACCGUGUACGUACAAGCAGUGGGAGCACCUUCGGGUGUGACUGCGUACCUUUUGUAUAAUGGGUCAGCGACUUAUAUUCUGUAGCAAGGUUAACCGUAUAGGGGAGCCGAAGGGAAACCGAGUCUUAACUGGGCGUUAAGUUGCAGGGUAUAGACCCGAAACCCGGUGAUCUAGCCAUGGGCAGGUUGAAGGUUGGGUAACACUAACUGGAGGACCGAACCGACUAAUGUUGAAAAAUUAGCGGAUGACUUGUGGCUGGGGGUGAAAGGCCAAUCAAACCGGGAGAUAGCUGGUUCUCCCCGAAAGCUAUUUAGGUAGCGCCUCGUGAAUUCAUCUUCGGGGGUAGAGCACUGUUUCGGCUAGGGGGUCAUCCCGACUUACCAACCCGAUGCAAACUGCGAAUACCGAAGAAUGUUAUCACGGGAGACACACGGCGGGUGCUAACGUCCGUCGUGAAGAGGGAAACAACCCAGACCGCCAGCUAAGGUCCCAAAGUCAUGGUUAAGUGGGAAACGAUGUGGGAAGGCACAGACAGCCAGGAUGUUGGCUUAGAAGCAGCCAUCAUUUAAAGAAAGCGUAAUAGCUCACUGGUCGAGUCGGCCUGCGCGGAAGAUGUAACGGGGCUAAACCAUGCACCGAAGCUGCGGCAGCGACACUAUGUGUUGUUGGGUAGGGGAGCGUUCUGUAAGCCGUUGAAGGUGGCCUGUGAGGGUUGCUGGAGGUAUCAGAAGUGCGAAUGCUGACAUAAGUAACGAUAAUGCGGGUGAAAAACCCGCACGCCGGAAGACCAAGGGUUCCUGUCCAACGUUAAUCGGGGCAGGGUGAGUCGACCCCUAAGGCGAGGCCGAAAGGCGUAGUCGAUGGGAAACAGGUUAAUAUUCCUGUACUUGGUGUUACUGCGAAGGGGGGACGGAGAAGGCUAUGUCGGCCGGGCGACGGUUGUCCCGGUUUAAGCAUGUAGGCGGAGGUUCCAGGUAAAUCCGGUACCUUUUAACGCUGAGGUGUGAUGACGAGGCACUACGGUGCUGAAGUGACAAAUGCCCUGCUUCCAGGAAAAGCCUCUAAGCAUCAGGUAACAUCAAAUCGUACCCCAAACCGACACAGGUGGUCAGGUAGAGAAUACCAAGGCGCUUGAGAGAACUCGGGUGAAGGAACUAGGCAAAAUGGUGCCGUAACUUCGGGAGAAGGCACGCUGAUAGGUAGGUGAAGUGAUUUACUCAUGGAGCUGAAAUCAGUCGAAGAUACCAGCUGGCUGCAACUGUUUAUUAAAAACACAGCACUGUGCAAACACGAAAGUGGACGUAUACGGUGUGACGCCUGCCCGGUGCCGGAAGGUUAAUUGAUGGGGUUAUCCGUAAGGAGAAGCUCUUGAUCGAAGCCCCGGUAAACGGCGGCCGUAACUAUAACGGUCCUAAGGUAGCGAAAUUCCUUGUCGGGUAAGUUCCGACCUGCACGAAUGGCGUAAUGAUGGCCAGGCUGUCUCCACCCGAGACUCAGUGAAAUUGAACUCGCUGUGAAGAUGCAGUGUACCCGCGGCAAGACGGAAAGACCCCGUGAACCUUUACUAUAGCUUGACACUGAACACUGGUCCUUGAUGUGUAGGAUAGGUGGGAGGCUUUGAAGUGUGGACGCCAGUCUGCAUGGAGCCGUCCUUGAAAUACCACCCUUUAAUGGCUGGUGUUCUAACGUGGGCCCGUAAUCCGGGUUGCGGACAGUGUCUGGUGGG
rnacentral:rRNA from 1 species